GAAAACAAUUGAUGCUCCAGAUUGAAGUAUAACAGUUUAAGAAAUGUGAUUUCUCAAUGGACUACAUAUAUGAGAAGAGAUGUUAAGAUUAAACGCAAUGACGUUAUUUUGAUUUUCACACACCUUAGGAAACAUUAUAUUCUUUUGAUUUGGAUCCAUCCCAAAUUUUAUGUGGAGCUACGAACUCUCGAAUUAAUUUUUAAAAGGCCAUUUUGCAUCUGUUGGUGUGAGACUUAUUCUAGGAAUAAGAACCCGUUUACCCACAUGUGUUCCGGUGAGUAUUUCUGCUUCAAUAAUCCUCUUGCCUAGGCGAGUUAUUAUUAAUCUUGUACCAUUGCAAAGUCCUUCGCGUUGAUUAAUGUUCCGUAGUAGCAUGAUUGGUGCAUCUAUCUUGAGGUCUAGCUUAUGAUUGGGGAUACCUGAAAAUUUCAACGUAUUUAAAAAAUCUGUGGGGUAAAGAAUAUGUUGAUUUGCCACUUCUUCUUUGUCGUCUCCAAUUGUAUCGGAGCUCAAAUACUCUUUUUGCUCUCCUUUUAAGCAUGAUAACAUGUAGUUGUUCACUUCAUCCACCGUCUCAUUUCUUGGAGUAAGAAUUGCUCUUUCAAUCAAAUAACCCUUAUUUUUGAAAUUAGCAUCGAAAUCGUGGUAUAUAGACGUUGCAAUGCAACUAACCGAAUCUCCAUUGUUUGGCAAGAGUAGAUUAUUUUCUAUUUCCACGAUACCUAUUUCAUCACUUAAAGUUCUAUAUUUUUCUGGUUUAGGUAUUGUGCCAUCACCGAUACCUAUUAGCCAAUUUGCAAAUUCUUUCUCAGCCUGGUGUAACCUCAUAUUUUUCUCAAGGAAUUUGUCUAAAAUCACUACCAAGGAGCACUGUUUUUCCGCCAAAGGGUUUGCUUGCUGCAUUUGGAUCUGCUACAGAGAGUAAAUCUCGCAAACUCUUGUCGAGAGCUUCAAAUGCAAAACGAUGGCACAUAGGUGCUUCAUCCCAAAUGAUGAGAUCUGUUUUUUCCAAUAACUCUGCAAGCAUGGAACCACGACUGAUGUUACAAAUACUGUCUUGAUGAAGAUCUAUCGGAAUUUUGAAACGUGAAUGUGCUGUUCUACCGUUGGGUAAAAGUGUAGCUGCAAUUCCGGAUGAAGCUACUGGUAUGUCUUCAGCGAGGUGUCGCCAACAAUGUUCCCAGAGAGUAAGAGGACUACUCAAUUCGCAGUAAAUUAACAAUGUCACAAAGAGAUGGCGAAGCUGAAAAGGAUAUGCAUAUUCUGCUGCUUCGUCCAUAGCUUCCUUCCAUUCAGAAUCACCAUUCAACAUCCCUCUUGCAUAACAUGCCGCCUUGAAUGUCUUGUGUUUAACAUUCUCAACAGUUAGUAAAUCAUCAAAGCUAGUAGGCCCUUUUUCGGUAUUCAGCAACAUUCUCAAGUAGUAUAAGUCUCCAGCUGUUGGAUGAAUGUUUACUAUUCUUCCUAUGCUAAAUCCUUGCUUCCUUUCUGACCACAUUUUUCCAUCUGAAUCCCACACAUAAUAGGUAGGGAACUGAAUAUAUGUAAGUUUCCUUGCUUCAGGACAUCUUUUAUUCAUCUCGAACCAUUCGGUUUACGUUCAUGUAUAUCGAAUGCAAAAAUUCGCCAAGUAGCUUCACAUGCAGAGAGGAGGUCGAGAUUAUGAGGCACAACGUAGUGGUUAUCAAGCCUUGUGUUGCCUUUCAUGACAAAUUUUGUUUCGUCAUAUCUUCUACGAUAAGUAAUGUAGCCCGCCUCACUAAUAUUGGUUGUAUCAUUGUACGGUCUUGGAAACUUUUUGGUGCAUUUGUUAUCAUCCAUACACUUUGGGCCGCAGGGUCCAUGCAUCAUAAGUUGUUCAACUAAUAAAAAACCUUCUGGAUCA